rnacentral:rRNA from 1 species
UACAGAGGGGGCAAGCGUUGUUCGGAAUUACUGGGCGUAAAGGGCGCGUAGGCGGCCCGCUAAGUCGAACGUGAAAUCCCCGAGCUCAACUCGGGAACUGCGUCCGAUACUGGCGGGCUUGAAUCCGGGAGAGGGAUGCGGAAUUCCAGGUGUAGCGGUGAAAUGCGCAGAUAUCAGGAGGAACACCGGUGGCGAAGGCGGUUCUCUGGGCCUUACCUGACGCUGAGGAGCGAAAGCGUGGGGAGCGAACAGG